rnacentral:lncRNA from 1 species
UUAGUGUUGGAGCUAGGGUUAGGCUUGGGCUUGGAGCUAGGAUUUUUCUGAGUACAAUGAACCAACUCCCGAGUCUCUUGGACGUUCCUAAAAAAAUUUGAUUUUUUCCCAUAGGAAUGCAUGGGUUAGGGUUAGGGUUAGGGUUGGAGCUAGGGUUAGGGUUAGGGUUAGGGUUGGAGUUAGGGUUAGUGUUGGAGCUAGGGUUAGGGUUGGGCUUGGAGCUAGGAUUUUUCUGAGUGCAAUGAACCAACUCCCGAGUCUCUAGGACGUUCCUAAUAAAAUUUGAUUUUUUCCCAUAGGAAUGCAUGGGUUAGGGUUAGGGUAAGUGUUGGAGCUAGGGUUUGGGUUAAGGUUAGGGUUGGAGUUAGGGUUAGUGUUGGAGCUAGGGUUAGGGUUGGGCUUGGAGCUAGGAUUUUUCUGAGUGCACUGAACCAACUCCCGAGUCUCUAGGACAUUCCUAAAAAAAUUUGAUUUUUUCCCAUAGGAAUGCAUGGUUUAGGGUUAUGGUUAGGGUUAGGGUUGGAGCUAGGGUUAGGGUUAGGGUUAGGGUUGGAGUUAGGGUUAGUGUUGGAGCUAGGGUUAGGGUUGGGCUUGGAGCUAGGAUUUUUCUGAGUGCACUGAACCAACUCCCGAGUCUCUAGGACAUUCCUAAAAAAAUUUGAUUUUUUCCCAUAGGAAUGCAUGGGUUAGGGUUAUGGUUAGGGUUAGGGUUGGAGCUAGGGUAAGGGUUAGGGUUAGGGUUGGAGUUAGGGUUAGUGUUGGAGCUAGGUUUAGGGUUGGGCUUGGAGCUAGGAUUUUUCUGAGUGCAAUGAACCAACUCCCGAGUCUCUUGGAUGUUCCUAAAAAAAUUUGAUUUUUUCCCAUAGGAAUGCAUGGGUUAGGGUUAGGGUUAGGGUUGGAGCUAGGGUUAGGGUUAGGGUUAGGGUUGGAGUAAGGGUUAGUGUUGGAGCUAGGGUUAGGGUUGGGCUUGGAGCUAGGAUUUUUCUGAGUGCACUGAACCAACUCCCGAGUCUCUAGGACAUUCCUAAAAAAAUUUGAUUUUUUCCCAUAGGAAUGCAUGGGUUAGGGUUAUGGUUAGGGUUAGGGUUGGAGCUAGGGUUAGGGUUAGGGUUAGGGUUGGAGUUAGGGUUAGUGUUGGAGCUAGGGUUAGGGUUGGGCUUGGAGCUAGGAUUUUUCUGAGUGCAAUGAACCAACUCCCGAGUCUCUAGGACGUUCCCUAAAAAAAUUUGAUUUUUUCCCAUAGGAAUGCAUGGGUUAGGGUUAGGGUUAGGGUUGGAGCUAGGGUUAGGGUUAGGGUUAGGGUUGGAGUUAGGGUUAGUGUUGGAGCUAGGGUUAGGCUUGGGCUUGGAGCUAGGAUUUUUCUGAGUACAAUGAACCAACUCCCGAGUCUCUUGGACGUUCCUAAAAAAAUUUGAUUUUUUCCCAUAGGAAUGCAUGGGUUAGGGUUAGGGUUAGGGUUGGAGCUAGGGUUAGGGUUAGGGUUAGGGUUGGAGUUAGGGUUAGUGUUGGAGCUAGGGUUAGGGUUGGGCUUGGAGCUAGGAUUUUUCUGAGUGCAAUGAACCAACUCCCGAGUCUCUAGGACGUUCCUAAUAAAAUUUGAUUUUUUCCCAUAGGAAUGCAUGGGUUAGGGUUAGGGUAAGGGUUGGAGCUAGGGUUUGGGUUAAGGUUAGGGUUGGAGUUAGGGUUAGUGUUGGAGCUAGGGUUAGGGUUGGGCUUGGAGCUAGGAUUUUUCUGAGUGCACUGAACCAACUCCCGAGUCUCUAGGACAUUCCUAAAAAAAUUUGAUUUUUUCCCAUAGGAAUGCAUGGGUUUGGGUUAGGGUUAGGGUUGGAGCUAGGGUUAGGGUUAGGGUUAGGGUUGGAGUUAGGGUUAGUGUUGGAGCUAGGGUUAGGGUUGGGCUUGGAGCUAGGAUUUUUCUGAGUGCAAUGAACCAACUCCCGAGUCUCUUGGACGUUCCUAAAAAAUUUUGAUUUUUUCCCAUAGGAAUGCAUGGGUUAGGGUUAGGGUUAGGGUUGGAGCUAGGGUUAGGGUUAGGGUUAGGGUUGGAGUUAGGGUUAGUGUUGGAGCUAGGGUUAGGAUUGGGCUUGGAGCUAGGAUUUUUCUGAGUGCAAUGAACCAACUCCCGAGUCUCUAGGACGUUCCUAAUAAAAUUUGAUUUUUUCCCAUAGGAAUGCAUGGGUUAGGGUUAGGGUAAGGGUUGGAGCUAGGGUUAGGGUUAAGGUUAGGGUUGGAGUUAGGGUUAGUGUUGGAGCUAGGGUUAGGGUUGGGCUUGGAGCUAGGAUUUUUCUGAGUGCACUGAACCAACUCCCGAGUCUCUAGGACAUUCCUAAAAAAAUUUGAUUUUUUCCCAUAGGAAUGCAUGGUUUAGGGUUAUGGUCAGGGUUAGGGUUGGAGCUAGGGUUAGGGUUAGGGUUAGGGUUGGAGUUAGGGUUAGUGUUGGAGCUAGGGUUAGGGUUGGGCUUGGAGCUAGGAUUUUUCUGAGUGGAAUGAACCAACUCCCGAGUCUCUAGGACGUUCCUAAAAAAAUUUGAUUUUUUCCCAUAGGAAUGCAUGGGUUAGGGUUAGGGUUAGGGUUGGAGCUAGGGUUAGGGUUAGGGUUAGGGUUGGAGUUAGGGUUAGUGUUGGAGCUAGGGUUAGGGUUGGGCUUGGAGCUAGGAUUUUUCUGAGUGCACUGAACCAACUCCCGAGUCUCUAGGACAUUCCUAAAAAAAUUGAUUUUUUUUCCCAUAGGAAUGCAUGGGUUAGGGUUAUGGUUAGGUUUAGGGUUGGAGCUAGGGUUAGGGUAAGGGUUAGGGUUGGAGUUAGGGUUAGUGUUGGAGCUAGGGUUAGGGUUGGGCUUGGAGCUAGGAUUUUUCUGAGUGCAAUGAACCAACUCCCGAGUCUCUAGGACGUUCCUAAAAAAAUUUGAUUUUUUCCCAUAGGAAUGCAUGGGUUAGGGUUAGGGUUAGGGUUGGAGCUAGGGUUAGGGUUAGGGUUAGGGUUGGAGUUAGGGUUAGUGUUGGAGCUAGGGUUAGGGUUGGGCUUGGAGCUAGGAUUUUUCUGAGUGCAAUGAACCAACUCCCGAGUCUCUAGGACGUUCCUAAAAAAAAUUGAUUUUUUCCCAUAGGAAUGCAUGGGUUAGGGUUAGGGUUAGGGUUGGAGCUAGGGUUAGGGUUAGGGUUAGGGUUGGAGUUAGGGUUAGUGUUGGAGCUAGGGUUAGGGUUGGGCUUGGAGCUAGGACUUUUCUGAGUGCAAUGAACCAACUCCCGAUUCUCUAGGACAUUCCUAAAAAAAUUUGAUUUUUUCCCAUAGGAAUGCAUGGGUUAGGGUUAUGGGUUAGGGUUAGGGUUGGAGCUAGGGUUAGGGUUAGGGUUAGGGUUGGAGUUAGGGUUAGUGUUGGAGCUAGGGUUAGGGUUGGGCUUGGAGCUAGGAUUUUUCUGAGUGCACUGAACCAACUCCCGAGUCUCUAGGACAUUCCUAAAAAAAUUUGAUUUUUUCCCAUAGGAAUGCAUGGGUUAGGGUUAGGGUUAGGGUUAGGGUUGGAGCUAGGGUUAGGGUUAGGGUUAGGGUUGGAGUUAGGGUUAGUGUUGGAGCUAGGGUUAGGGUUGGGCUUGGAGCUAGGAUUUUUCUGAGUGCACUGAACCAACUCCCGAGUCUCUAGGACAUUCCUAAAAAAAUUUGAUUUUUUCCCAUAGGAAUGCAUGGUUUAGGGUUAUGGUUAGGGUUAGGGUUGCAGCUAGGGUUAGGGUUAGGGUUAGGGUUGGAGUUAGGGUUAGUGUUGGAGCUAGGGUUAGGGUUGGGCUUGGAGCUAGGAUUUUUCUGAGUGCAAUGAACCAACUCCCGAGUCUCUAGGACGUUCCUAAAAAAAUUUGAUUUUUUCCCAUAGGAAUGCAUGGGUUAGGGUUAGGGUUAGGGUUGGAGCUAGGGUUAGGGUUAGGGUUAGGGUUGGAGUUAGGGUUAGUGUUGGAGCUAGGGUUAGGGUUGGGCUUGGAGCUAGGAUUUUUCUGAGUGCAAUGAACCAACUCCCGAGUCUCUAGGACGUUCCUAAUAAAAUUUGAUUUUUUCCCAUAGGAAUGCAUGGGUUAGGGUUAGGGUAAGGGUUGGAGCUAGGGUUAGGGGUAAGGGUUAGGGUUGGAGUUAGGGUUAGUGUUGGAGCUAGGGUUAGGGUUGGGCUUGGAGCUAGGAUUUUUCUGAGUGCACUGAACCAACUCCCGAGUCUCUAGGACAUUCCUAAAAAAAUUUGAUUUUUUCCCAUAGGAAUGCAUGGUUUAGGGUUAUGGUCAGGGUUAGGGUUGGAGCUAGGGUUAGGGUUAGGGUUAGGGUUGGAGUUAGGGUUAGUGUUGGAGCUAGGGUUAGGGUUGGGCUUGGAGCUAGGAUUUUUCUGAGUGGAAUGAACCAACUCCCGAGUCUCUAGGACGUUCCUAAAAAAAUUUGAUUUUUUCCCAUAGGAAUGCAUGGGUUAGGGUUAGGGUUAGGGUUGGAGCUAGGGUUAGGGUUAGGGUUAGGGUUGGAGUUAGGGUUAGUGUUGGAGCUAGGGUUAGGGUUGGGCUUGGAGCUAGGAUUUUUCUGAGUGCACUGAACCAACUCCCGAGUCUCUAGGACAUUCCUAAAAAAAUUGAUUUUUUUCCCAUAGGAAUGCAUGGGUUAGGGUUAUGGUUAGGUUUAGGGUUGGAGCUAGGGUUAGGGUAAGGGUUAGGGUUGGAGUUAGGGUUAGUGUUGGAGCUAGGGUUAGGGUUGGGCUUGGAGCUAGGAUUUUUCUGAGUGCAAUGAACCAACUCCCGAGUCUCUUGGACGUUCCUAAAAAAAUUUGAUUUUUUCCCAUAGGAAUGCAUGGGUUAAGGUUAGGGUUAGGGUUGGAGCUAGGGUUAGGGUUAGGGUUAGGGUUGGAGUUAGGGUUAGUGUUGGAGCUAGGGUUAGGGUUGGGCUUGGAGCUAGGAUUUUUCUGAGUGCAAUGAACCAACUCCCGAGUCUCUAGGACGUUCCUAAAAAAAUUUGAUUUUUUCCCAUAGGAAUGCAUGGGUUAGGGUUAGGGUUAGGGUUGGAGCUAGGGUUAGGGUUAGGGUUAGGGUUGGAGUUAGGGUUAGUGUUGGAGCUAGGGUUAGGGUUGGGCUUGGAGCUAGGAUUUUUCUGAGUGCAAUGAACCAACUCCCGAUUCUCUAGGACAUUCCUAAAAAAAUUUGAUUUUUUCCCAUAGGAAUGCAUGGGUUAGGGUUAGGGUUAGGGUUGGAGCUAGGGUUAGGGUUAGGGUUAGGGUUGGAGUUAGGGUUAGUGUUGGAGCUAGGGUUAGGGUUGGGCUUGGAGCUAGGAUUUUUCUGAGUGCACUGAACCAACUCCCGAGUCUCUAGGACAUUCCUAAAAAAAUUUGAUUUUUUCCCAUAGGAAUGCAUGGGUUAGGGUUAUGGUUAGGGUUAGGGUUGGAGCUAGGGUUAGGGUUAGGGUUAGGGUUGGAGUUAGGGUUAGUGUUGGAGCUAGGGUUAGGGUUGGGCUUGGAGCUAGGAUUUUUCUGAGUGCACUGAACCAACUCCCGAGUCUCUAGGACAUUCCUAAAAAAAUUUGAUUUUUUCCCAUAGGAAUGCAUGGGUUAGGGUUAGGGUUAGGGUUGGAGCUAGGGUUAGGGUUAGGGUUAGGGUUGGAGUUAGGGUUAGUGUUGGAGCUAGGGUUAGGGUUGGGCUUGGAGCUAGGAUUUUUCUGAGUGCAAUGAACCAACUCCCGAGUCUCUAGGAUGUUCCCUAAAAAAAUUUGAUUUUUUCCCAUAGGAAUGCAUGGGUUAGGGUUAGGGUUAGGGUUGGAGCUAGGGUUAGGGUUAGGGUAAGGGUUGGAGUUAGGGUUAGUGUUGGAGCUAGGGUUAGGGUUGGGCUUGGAGCUAGGAUUUUUCUGAGUGCACUGAACCAACUCCCGAGUCUCUAGGACAUUCCUAAAAAAAUUUGAUUUUUUCCCAUAGGAAUGCAUGGGUUAGGGUUAGGGUUAGGGUUGGAGCUAGGGUUAGGGUUAGGGUUAGGGUUGGAGUUAGGGUUAGUGUUGGAGCUAGGGUUAGGGUUGGGCUUGGAGCUAGGAUUUUUCUGAGUGCACUGAACCAACUCCCGAGUCUCUAGGACAUUCCUAAAAAAAUUUGAUUUUUUCCCAUAGGAAUGCAUGGGUUAGGGUUAGGGUUAGGGUUAGGGUUGGAGCUAGGGUUAGGGUUAGGGUUAGGGUUGGAGUUAGGGUUAGUGUUGGAGCUAGGGUUAGGGUUGGGCUUGGAGCUAGGAUUUUUCUGAGUGCACUGAACCAACUCCCGAGUCUCUUGGACGUUCCUAAAAAAAUUUGAUUUUUUCCCAUAGGAAUGCAUGGGUUAGGGUUAUGGUUAGGGUUAGGGUUGGAGCUAGGGUUAGGGUUAGGGUUAGGGUUGGAGUUAGGGUUAGUGUUGGAGCUAGGGUUAGGGUUGGGCUUGGAGCUAGGAUUUUUCUGAGUGCAAUGAACCAACUCCCGAGUCUCUAGGACGUUCCUAAAAAAAUUUGAUUUUUUCCCAUAGGAAUGCAUGGGUUAGGGUUAGGGUUAGGGUUGGAGCUAGGGUUAGGGUUAGGGUUAGGGUUGGAGUUAGGGUUAGUGUUGGAGCUAGGGUUAGGGUUGGGCUUGGAGCUAGGAUUUUUCUGAGUGCACUGAACCAACUCCCGAGUCUCUAGGACGUUCCUAAAAAAAUUUGAUUUUUUCCCAUAGGAAUGCAUGGGUUAGGGUUAUGGUUAGGGUUAGGGUUGGAGCUAGGGUUAGGGUUAGGGUUAGGGUUGGAGUUAGGGUUAGUGUUGGAGCUAGGGUUAGGGUUGGGCUUGGAGCUAGGAUUUUUCUGAGUGCAAUGAACCAACUCCCGAAUCUCUUGGACGUUCCUAAAAAAAUUUGAUUUUUUCCCAUAGGAAUGCAUGGGUUAGGGUUAGGGUUAGGGUUGGAGCUAGGGUUAGGGUUAGGGUUAGGGUUGGAGUUAGGGUUAGUGUUGGAGCUAGGGUUAGGGUUGGGCUUGGAGCUAGGAUUUUUCUGAGUGCACUGAACCAACUCCCGAGUCUCUAGGACAUUCCUAAAAAAAUUGAUUUUUUCCCAUAGGAAUGCAUGGUUUAGGGUUAUGGUUAGGGUUAGGGUUGGAGCUAGGGUUAGGGUUAGGGUUAGGGUUGGAGUUAGGGUUAGUGUUGGAGCUAGGGUUAGGGUUGCGCUUGGAGCUAGGAUUUUUCUGAGUGCAAUGAACCAACUCCCGAGUCUCUAGGACGUUCCUAAAAAAAUUUGAUUUUUUCCCAUAGGAAUGCAUGGGUUAGGGUUAGGGUUAGGGUUGGAGCUAGGGUUAGGGUUAGGGUUAGGGUUGGAGUUAGGGUUAGUGUUGGAGCUAGGGUUAGGGUUGGGCUUGGAGCUAGGAUUUUUCUGAGUGCACUGAACCAACUCCCGAGUCUCUAGGACAUUCCUAAAAAAAUUUGAUUUUUUCCCAUAGGAAUGCAUGGGUUAGGGUUAUGGUUGGGGUUAGGGUUGGAGCUAGGGUUAGGGUUAGGGUUAGGGUUGGAGUUAGGGUUAGUGUUGGAGCUAGGGUUAGGGUUGGGCUUGGAGCUAGGAUUUUUCUGAGUGCACUGAACCAACUCCCGAGUCUCUAGGACGUUCCUAAAAAAAUUUGAUUUUUUCCCAUAGGAAUGCAUGGGUUAGGGUUAGGGUUAGGGUUGGAGCUAGGGUUAGGGUUAGGGUUAGGGUUAGGGUUGGAGUUAGGGUUAGUGUUGGAGCUAGGGUUAGGGUUGGGCUUGGAGCUAGGAUUUUUCUGAGUGCACUGAACCAACUCCCGAGUCUCUAGGAUAUUCCUAAAAAAAUUUGAUUUUUUCCCAUAGGAAUGCAUGGGUUAGGGUUAGGGUUAGGGUUGGAGCUAGGGUUAGGGUUAGGGUUAGGGUUGGAGUUAGGGUUAGUGUUGGAGCUAGGGUUAGGGUUGGGCUUGGAGCUAGGAUUUUUCUGAGUGCACUGAACCAACUCCCGAGUCUCUAGGACAUUCCUAAAAAAAUUUGAUUUUUUCCCAUAGGAAUGCAUGGGUUAGGGUUAUGGUUAGGGUUAGGGUUGGAGCUAGGGUUAGGGUUAGGUUUAGGGUUGGAGUUAGGGUUAGUGUUGGAGCUAGGGUUAGGGUUGGGCUUGGAGCUAGGACUUUUCUGAGUGCAAUGAACCAACUCCCGAGUCUCUAGGACGUUCCCUAAAAAAAUUUGAUUUUUUCCCAUAGGAAUGCAUGGGUUAGGGUUAGGGUUAGGGUUGGAGCUAGGGUUAGGGUUAGGGUUAGGGUUGGAGUUAGGGUUAGUGUUGGAGCUAGGUUUAGGGUUGGGCUUGGAGCUAGGAUUUUUCUGAGUGCACUGAACCAACUCCCGAGUCUCUAGGACAUUCCUAAAAAAAUUUGAUUUUUUCCCAUAGGAAUGCAUGGGUUAGGGUUAUGGUUGGGGUUAGGGUUGGAGCUAGGGUUAGGGUUAGGGUUAGGGUUGGAGUUAGGGUUAGUGUUGGAGCUAGGGUUAGGGUUGGGCUUGGAGCUAGGAUUUUUCUGAGUGCACUGAACCAACUCCCGAGUCUCUAGGACAUUCCUAAAAAAAUUGAUUUUUUCCCAUAGGAAUGCAUGGGUUAGGGUUAUGGUUAGGGUUAGGGUUGGAGCGAGGGUUAGGGUUAGGGUUAGGGUUGGAGUUAGGGUUAGUGUUGGAGCUAGGGUUAGGGUUGGGCUUGGAGCUAGGAUUUUCUGAGUGCAAUGAACCAACUCCCGAGUCUCUAGGACGUUCCUAAAAAAAUUUGAUUUUUUCCCAUAGGAAUGCAUGGGUUAGGGUUAGGGUUAGGGUUGGAGCUAGGGUUAGGGUUAGGGUUAGGGUUAGGGUUGGAGUUAGGGUUAGUGUUGGAGCUAGGGUUAGGGUUGGGCUUGGAGCUAGGAUUUUUCUGAGUGCACUGAACCAACUCCCGAGUCUCUAGGACAUUCCUAAAAAAAUUUGAUUUUUUCCCAUAGGAAUGCAUGG